CGUAGUUCAGUUGGUAGAGCGCCAGUUUGUGGCACUGGUUGUCGCGGGUUCGAAUCCCGUCG
rnacentral:tRNA from 1 species